rnacentral:rRNA from 1 species
UACGUAGGGUGCGAGCGUUGUCCGGAAUUAUUGGGCGUAAAGAGCUCGUAGGCGGCCUGUCGCGUCGGAUGUGAAAGCCCGGGGCUUAACCCCGGGUCUGCAUUCGAUACGGGCAGGCUAGAGUUCGGUAGGGGAGAUCGGAAUUCCUGGUGUAGCGGUGAAAUGCGCAGAUAUCAGGAGGAACACCGGUGGCGAAGGCGGGUCUCUGGGCCGAUAUUGACGCUGAGACGCGAAAGCGUGGGGAGCAAACAGG